rnacentral:lncRNA from 1 species
UACAUUUUGCCUAAUUAAAACCCUUAUAAUCUUUCUUGAGGUACAUAUAAAUGAACCAUAUGCCAAAAACCAAAUACAGAUUACAUAAAUUCUUGAGAAACAUAGAACGAUUUACUAGACACCACCAUACAAGACAGCAAACAAGAAUAUUUAACUUCUUUAAUAUUGUUCGAGUAUCCUGUAGAUGUCUCAAUGAUUGCCUCAAAGAGAUGAGAACAAGACGUGUAGAUCCAAGAAUGUUGGUUCCUUAUUUUCCACACAAGUCAAUCUCUCUCUUGGAUGGUCUGUAACUCAAUGGACUGAGACUAUAAAUGCAAGUGUUUUCUCGUUUGGAUUUGAUUGAAAUUUCAUCCGAUGUAGUCCUAAAUCCUGGAAUAUUACAGGAAGAAGAAGAUGGUCUUAUCCCUGUUAAGCUGGCUCUGCAGGAAUUCCCAACUGCUUUGUCUCUGGCACAUUGAACACCAUCAACACUAGGCACUUCAAAUAUGUAUAUUCCAUACUUAUUUGUAGUUCUGUUCACCGAAAAUGAUAUCCGUUCUGUUGUUCUUGAAGAAAUUGCUAUGAAUAUGCAAUCUAUUCUAACUUCUACUCCUGGUUAGAUCCAAUAAAAAAUGACAGAGUUAUGAUUUUAUAAUAAAACUAUUAUACGGUAAAGUACGAGUACUGUUCAAUCUUCCUUACCCGGCAAGAAGUAGCUGUGCUUGGAGAAGGUGUUGUUGGAGCAGAAGUCACAAUAUACCAUGCCCAUGACAAUGAUCUGGGACUGGGAUUUCGAGUCGGGUUUUUUGGGUUCAACUUGCAAAGGGAAUGAGAUAGUUAACAAGGAAGAAAACAUAAAGAGAAUAAUGGAAGAGGCCAUUGUAGAAAAUAAACAGAGAGAAGACACUCAUAAGCUGCUUAAAGUGAAAUAUAAUUUGGAUUGUGCAUGUGUGAUGCAGAUAAUGAGUGCCAGUUGUUGAGAAUACUUGUUCUGAGCUAGGAGUUGAAACGCCUUUUUCUCAAUGCACAUACAAACAAAUGCAUGUGAAUUUCCUUUGGAAGAUUGUGCUAAUAUGUUUAUAUCCAAAUAUAUUACUAGACAGGAUUGAACACGAUAUUUACAAAAAAACAAAGAAAAAAAAAAGGAUGAUCAUAUUUUUCUUGUCACUGUACAUAGAAAUC